rnacentral:rRNA from 1 species
GGACUACUGGGGUAUCUAAUCCUGUUUGCUCCCCACGCUUUCGUGUCUCAGCGUCAGUCUUCGUCCAGUUGGCCGCCUUCGCCACCGGUGUUCCUCUCGAUAUCUACGAAUUUCACCUCUACACCGAGAAUUCCACCAACCUCUCCGAGACUCGAGCCAAGCAGUAUCGGGUGCACUUCCCGAGUUGAGCCCGGGGCUUUCACAUCCGACUUGAAUGGCCGCCUACACACGCUUUACGCCCAGUAAUUCCGAACAACGUUUGCACCCUCUGUCUUACCGCGGCUGCUGGCAC